CUGCGCGGGUCCCGCGCUUUGCGGGAGGAAGUUCUGAGGCGGGUACGGACUCCUAGGUGCAGUUGAGGACCCAAUUCCAAGGAAUAUUUUAGUUUCAAGCGUUGAAAGGGGAGGAGAGGAGGACCAUUUACCACAUCUAGGAAAGCGACCCUCUGACGUGCCCAAGGGGGCUGGCCAAGCUUGUACAAAGAAUCUUCAACUCAAGGUCUAAAGGGCUGCAGCUGCUUGAAGGACCAGCUCACCAACUCCCAAGGGAACUCCAGAAGGCCUCUAAACUGGGAAAGGAAGGACCAGGGAGAGGCUAGCAGAACUUUGUGAAUUGGCAUUGCUUAGUCCAGUGCUCACUGACUUUUUCAAGGCAACACCUGGCUGCUUUUCCCUGGCAGCUUGGCCGCAGCGCAAGAGUGUGCCUUCUGAAGCCACUCCCAUGGCCUCUGGGGAUGGAUGACACAACCAAGCUGUGUUCCGACAGGAAACUGGAUCCAAGCCUCUCUCUCCUCCCCAGCACACUGGACUGCAUUGAGCCAUCUUUCAGUGCAGCAAAGUUUGGUAGCACCUUGCUCAUGGCAACCUGGCAGCACUCUCCCCCAGGACAGAGACCAGCAAGUAUCCUGAUGUUCAGGUCACUGCUGUGCUUCAACCUUCUAAAUAGAUACAUCGUGAAGAUCCUUCUCCUCUUCCCCAAGGUCUUGUGUCCCACUGCUCUCUGGAGCAGUCCUUCCCCUCCAGGGCCUAGCCUUUUGUCUUGGGCUCAGUGCCAGGAAUAGAUGAAGAGUUCCCAUCCAGGUACCAAAUUGGGGGCUAAAAGGAAAAAUCAGAACCUGGACUGGGUGUUGGAGGCUUCUGAUUAUAAGUAAUAGCUAUAUUAAAAUUUUUAAUAAUA